AUAAUGUCUCACUUCCUCUGGAAACAGGACAUGGACCUGUAUAAAAGGUCCACUAUCCUAGUUCUCCUCAUUCGAUCUUCAGGUUCCUCAACCUACCAGUCUACUCCUGAACAAGGUUCAUCCUUCCUUAUCAGCAAUGGGUAACUGCAAUGGGUAUGGUGGUGGCCAAAGCCAGCCAUCAAUGAUGUGUUUGCCUUUGGGAGGUUGUGGCAGCUGCUGCCAGCCCUCCUGUGGCCAAUCCUGUGGUUCCAGCGGCUGUCUCUAUUUAGUCAGUAUGGGACGUAGCAACAGUGGCGGAUGUUGCGGAGGAUGUUGCGGCGGUGGCGGAUAUUGAUGAUCCGGGAUUGAACCUCUAUGAGGUACGGCAUGGACAUUCCAACAGCCAGAACCAUCUCACUGUCAACGACAGCCACUUUGAGGACCUGUCUGAUAACCUCCUUCCUUUACUUGUUGGCCAGUCAAAACCGUGAAGAAGCUUUGUGCCGGCCUCUUGCACAAAACAUCCCCCUUCUCUAUGUAUUCCUUUUGCUUUUUUAUGAUUCCACAAAGUCCUGAGAAACAAAAGAGAUGUGACGGAUUGUGUCGGAAACAUGGGUGUGGGUCUCCUUCUCUUCUCCCUGGGCAAUGGAAAUCCCCAGGUUCUUCCUUUAAUAAAUGAAAUGUUGAAAUGAUAA